UACGUAGGGUGCGAGCGUUGUCCGGAAUUACUGGGCGUAAAGAGCUCGUAGGUGGUUUGUCGCGUUGUCCGUGAAAACUCACAGCUUAACUGUGGGCGUGCGGGCGAUACGGGCAGACUGGAGUACUGCAGGGGAGACUGGAAUUCCUGGUGUAGCGGUGAAAUGCGCAGAUAUCAGGAGGAACACCGGUGGCGAAGGCGGGUCUCUGGGCAGUAACUGACGCUGAGGAGCGAAAGCGUGGGGAGCGAACAGG
rnacentral:rRNA from 1 species